UUCCGGUUGAUCCUGCCGCCGGCUACUGCUAUCAAGUUCCGACUAAGCCAUGCGAGUCAAAGGGUCGCAAGACACUGGCGUACUGCUCAGUAACACGCGGACAAUCUACCCCCAGGUGGGGGAUAACCUCGGGAAACUGAGGCUAAUACCCCAUAGUUGCCAUAUGCUGGAAUGCUUUGGCGAUGAAAGAUUUUUUGCCUGAGGAUGAGUCUGUGGCCUAUCAGGUAGUAUGUGGUGUAAAGGACCACAUAGCCUAAGACGGGUACGGGCCUUGAAAGAGGGAGCCCGGAGAUGGACUCUGAGACACUAGUCCAGGCCCUACGGGGCGCAGCAGGCGCGAAAACUGUGCAAUGCGCGAAAGCGCGACACGGGAAGCCUGAGUGCCUUAACUUUUUGUUAAGGCUUUUCACAAGCCUAAAAAGCUUGUGGAAUAAGAGCUGGGUAAGACGGGUGCCAGCCGCCGCGGUAACACCCGCGGCUCUAGUGGUAGUCACUUUUAUUGAGCCUAAAGCGUUCGUAGCCGGAUUCGUAAAUCUCUAGGAAAAUACUUCUGCCUAACAGAAGAAACUCUGGAGAGACUGCGGAUCUAGGGACCGGGUGAGGUUGAAUGUACUUCUGGGGUAGGGGUAAAAUCCUGUAAUCCUGGAAGGACGACCGGUGGCGAAGGCGUUCAACUAGAACGGAUCUGACGGUGAGGAACGAAGGCUAGGGGAGCAAACCGGAUUAGAUACCCGGGUAGUCCUAGCUGUAAACACUGCCCACUUGGUGUUGCAUCUCCGGUAAGGGGGUGCAGUGCCGGAGCGAAGGUGUUAAGUGGGCCGCUUGGGGAGUAUGGUCGCAAGGCUGAAACUUAAAGGAAUUGGCGGGGGAGCACCGCAACGGGAGGAGCGUGCGGUUUAAUUGGAUUCAACGCCGGAA
rnacentral:rRNA from 1 species